CAAAAGGAUGCAGGGAGGCUGCUGAUUUCCACUGAAGAGCUAAUUUCCUGUGAGACAUUAACAGUGAUUUAAGAAAAAGAUUCCUGUAACUGGUAAAUGAAUUUCAUUUGCUUAACUUUUAGAUGAUAUGUUUCAGGCAAAAAAAAAGUUGUGCACCCACUUAUCUCUUUAAAGCGGAGGAUGAAAAGCAUUGAAUAGGUAGGAUUCUUAAUGUCUGAGAUGAAGGCGAUGUAGGAGGCAAACAAUACGGUUAAAAAUGUUGAGUCGACCCAAACAGAAAGACCAGGUUUCAAUCCAGACUCUGCGGCUUACUGAGAAUAUGAUCUUGAGUAAACUGCUUGACCUUCCUGAGCCUCAGCUUUCUUAGUUGUUAAAUGGACUUUAACAAUACUAAUCUGUUAGGACUGUGGUGAGGAUGAAAUCAGGGAAAUCAGUCACAGCAGUGCUCUCCUGGCACAGUAAUGUCUUACAAUAACAGAAUGCAGGAGAGCACAUAUCAAUGAAGAAAAGACAAAAUGUACUUAUCCAUGAAGCUGAGGUUAAGAAACCAGUGUCUUCAAGAGCCAGGGACAGCACUGGGUCUGUGCAGAGUUGAGAGAUGGUGAUGACAUGUGGUUUCCAGCAUUCCUCACCCAGUCCAGGGACACUGUGGGUGUGCCCAGCUUAAGUCCAGUAACUGGAAAUACAAGCCCAAGUUCUGGAGAGUUUGAGCUGCAGAGAUAUAUAUGGGAACACUUUGAAUCUUGACUCAUUGGCCAUAACCAGCAGAGUGGAAAAUACAAGAAGAGAAAAAAACAUUGAACUGCGAUUUUAUAACAUCCUUUACUAGGCAGAGAGAAGAGGAAACACCAGGAAAGAAAACUGUAUUACGAUGUGAAAACUUAAUGUUGAGAAAUUCAGGCAUCUUGGGGUUAGUGAGGAGAAGUUUUAGGGGCUUAGAUUCUUCUAAACACAUGUACAGAAAUGCAUAUUUCAUCUGAUAUCAAAUGGCAUUUAUAGUGCUAAUCUUUACCUCAAGACUUCACAUCUUUUGGUGAUUGCAUCUUUUAGGUUUAUAGCAGCUAAGUUUGCAUGAAAACACCAGGGCUGUUUCAUUUCAGUCAAGAAUUAAUGUUCAUUGAUUGUGCUUCUGCAUUUCAUGUAACUAUUGUAGAAUUUGUUUUAGUUUUAUGAGGGAAUAAUUGUUCCAACUUCUAUAUAACUCAGGAAUUUACUCUCAAACAACACUGUCAAUUAGUUACUUAUCUCUCUGGAAAUGAUCUGGGAACAUGGAGAGGAAAGGGAGGAAGGGGCAAAAUCUGACCACUUAAAUCUAAGCAUAUUAGAUCAUUUUAUGCUAGAAAGUCCUGAAUGAUGUGACUUUCGUUCUUGUAAAACACCUCUUUCCAUAGAUUCAUGGCCCAAACAGUAUAUAAAGAGUGGGGAAGGAACUGCAUUUGCAAAUAGUUCAAAUCAUUGCUCCAUCUUAACUACGCAGUUCACAAAGUGUGAAGAAAUGUGAUCAUCUCAAAAAAGAUAAUGGGGAAAAAAUAUGUUUUGUUCUGUGACUUUAAAGUCUUGCAAUAUUUUACAUAAAUGAUAAUGGGUGCUUUAAUAAGAACUCUUGAUACUUUUGUUAUUGUAUUCAAUAUAUGCAUAUAAUACAACAGGAUGAUAUUGUUUUGGAUUUGGAAAUGUAUUCUUUCUUAUGCAAUCUUAUGCAGUCAUACUGCUUGAAUAUCAUUACCUGAAUUUAUCUUUCUUUUUUUUGUUGUUGUUUUACACUCUACUUAUUUGGUGCCUGUCAGUCUUUUGUCGUCAGUUUAUAUUCUACUAAACUCAAAAAGACAAUCUCAUACCUUUUGUAAUUGUAGGCAUUCUUUACUAGAUUUUUAAAUACACUUCAAAAAUUCAAGUACUUUGAUUUCAUGCCAUCAAGUAGCUGAAUCUAUCCCCCCGUCUCUUUUUAAAUUUAAGUGAGUAGUUCAAUUUCUGUCACUUUCUACUUUGUGAAUUCUAAAUCUUUUAAAACCAUCUUGCCAUUUUUCGUGCACUUACCCUUACAGAAAACUCUGUGAAACACUACUUAUCUCUACUUUUAUGUUUUUAACUCCUUUUUUAUAUUACUAUUCCCUCUGCUUUCUAAAUGCACAUAUUAAUUUGUUCUUUUUAUUCUCUGUAGCUCUUCUCAGUGUAUGAAUUCAGUUUCCCAUCAGUCUCCAUACAAUUAAAAAAAAGUUGAGUAUUCUGUUAUUUUAAUAAGAUAUCUAGUGCCCAUAUUCUAAUUCUGCCCCUUAUUUUUAAUAUAAUUUUAUUGUUGAUUUAAAAUGACAACAGUUUCAAUUCCCAGAAAGUGAAAGGAAACAAAGGAAUAAUAUUAUAGGCUUAAUUUUUAUCAGUGAACUUGUAGGUGAAGAAAAGAUUUGGGGAAGGAAAUGAACAUAUUAUAUUGCAAAAUAGUAAGGAACAAUCAGAUGUGUUUUCUAGUCUCUGGAAAAGCAUGUUUCAAGAAAUUCAAUGAAAAGUUCAUCAUGCUUGCUUAGAUUGUUGAGAAGCAAAAACACUGAUGAACAUUUGGAAGCAAUGAGAAUGUAAUUCUAAUCAUACUCUUUUAAUAAUGUUGCAAAACUCUCCAAACACUACUCUGUGUGGAUGUCUUUCAGAAUAUGAUGAAUACUAGUAGUCUUAUUCUGCCCUUUUCUCUCUAUCACAAUAUAUACAUUCUAUAUUGCAUACACAUAUUUUCCAAAUAUUACAUAUAAUUUCAUGUAAUUUAUAGACCUAUUAAGGCCCAACCAUUUUCUUGGAUAGGGGAUUCUUUAGAAGUCCAGCUUAAAUAAAGCCCGUAUAGAAAGUUUUUUUAAAAUUUAUACAUAAUCACCUAAAGUAACCUUAUCUACUGAACUCUUAGUACAUGCUACUGGAACCUUUUAUCAUGUUUCUUCCUGGCUUGCAUUACAACACUGUUGACAUAUCUCAGCCUUACUUCUAGGCUUCUUUGAGAGCAUGACUCAUGUUUGUAUUCCUCACUGAGGUUGAAUGAAUAAGAGAAACUACAGUAGUAGGAAAAAACAGUACAUGUACAUAUCAAUGAAUAUGAAAGGGUCAAAUGGAUCUAUUAUAGUAAGCACAAAAUCAACUGACACCAGCAAAGUAAACCCAAAAUUUUUAAUGGUAUUUUAAUAGAUCAAGAGGAGCAAGCAGAUUUUUGAGACAGUUGUCUCCUACUUUCUCUAUCACAGGGAGUAAUUUUAAAAGAAAAAUGGAGGGUAAGUUUCUUUAAGAGAAAAUUGUAGUUUAAAACAGGUCAUGGGAUAAUUAGAAAUAAUUUAAUUUCUUUAGAGGAUUUUAAUCUUUCAACUGCUUGCAAUUAGAUCCUAAGGCAAUAAAAGAAUAAGGAGAUUUGGAAAACCAUUGUCUGUAAUCUCUGAAGAAAAGUGGACAUUAGGGGAGUCAGUUGAAAAGCAAAGCUAUCACCAUUUUCUAAAGAGGAAAAAGGUGAACCUCACAAACUAUAGACCAAAAAAAUAGGACAUCGAGAGAAAGAAUAUGAAGCUAGCAUAGGUUCACAAAGAAUGAGUCAAAUCAAACAACAUGCAUUUUUUAUUUAUAAAGCAUGACUUGUUCAUUGUCAAUUCAUGUUAGCUUAAUCAUUAGGCAUUAAUGCCAUCACUGCAAUGCAUAUGUCAGCAAUAAAUAAUCAAAGACCAGGCUUCCAUCAUUCUGUUUAAUAUCUUCAAGUAAUGCUUAAGUUUGCAAAUGCUCUUUUAACACAUUCUCCAUAUGCAGCCUGCCCAGCACUGCACACAAUAGACCUGUUACUUCCCCCUCACGAGCACUCCUAAUAUUUCAUGUGCUCAUCCAAUUGACUUCUCCCACUGGUGCCUCAUAUUGAAUUUGUAGAAUCACACCUGCUCCUUUUUCAAAACUCUUCUGAGUUUUUUCUUAAAUAAUUCACUGACCCCAAAGUUGUCAGAUAUUUGAAGACUACUCGCACAAUUUUAAUAUUAUAAAUGUAUAAUGUAAAUGUAAUUAAGAUUUGUAUAAUGUACGAUGUACUUUGGUAAAUAAAAGUAUGCUGUGAAUAAAUACGUAUGAUACAAUUCAAAAUUUUACAUAAAUAUGUGAUAAAAUUUAGCUCAUAUUCUUUUUUUUUUUCUUUGAGACGGAGUCUCACUCUGUUGCACCCAGGCUAGAGUGCAGCAGCAUGAUCUCAGCUCACUGCAACCUCUACCUCCUGGGUUCAAACAAUUCUCCUGCCUCAGCCUCCUGAGUAGCUGGGAUUACAGGUGCCCGCCACCAUGCCCAGCUAAUUUUUUUCUAUUUUUGUUGUUGUUGUUGUUUUUAGUAGAGACGGGGUUUCACCAUGUUGGUCAGGCUGGUCUUGAACUCCUGACCUCAGAUAAUCCACCUGCCUCGGCCUCCCAAAGUUCUGGGAUUACAGACGUGAACCACGGUGCCCGGCCUAGUUCAUGUUCUUUAAGGACAAUUAUGAAUAUUUUUAUGCACUGUUAAUUUUCAUUAAGAUAUUGAUCAAUUAAUAGCUAUAUAUGUUCUAUAAAUUAAUCCUAUCUAGUUUCAAUCUUAAAUUGUUUGCAUAUACCAAUCUAGUUUAUUGUUUGCAUAUAUUUUAUAGUGUAGAGAUUAGGCAUUUUAAUAAAAUUUUAAAAUUUCCAGGACAUACUGUUAAUGACUAUGCUUCCUACUAUAGGCCAUAAUUAAUUUUUUUCUAUUGUCAACAAUAUUUUGGUAGGGAUGAUCAGGAAAUAAGGAAAUGUUUCCUUCAUUUGUUAACAAUAGGUGUUUGGGGAUUUUAAAAUGAAAAUUGAAGAAGUAAAAGACACCAUAUAUUUAGUUUGUUUGAUUUCGUGGCUUCAAGAGUUCAAUAAUUUAUUGAAAUAUUUUACAGACCAAAGAACAACAGAUAUAUUACGUUUAUAAGCCCCCACAUAUUUUAAAGGAUAAUGGUUUAUAUAUGAAAAUUCCCUGAACCUACACUUCAUCAGGAAAAGCUAAAUAAAAGAAGUUUACAUUUCCUAGGACUAAUGGAGAUUUAUUUCCCAGUCCUCUUCUCUGGAGACAAAUGUAGGUCUCUCUUGAAAAGCAGAAAGUUUUGCAUAUGAGGUAUGAUUUAGUGGGCUAGAAACAUCUUUUCCACCCUCCCCAAAAUGUUUCACUAUGUUUUAUCAUACUAUCUGAUAAUUUUGCAUUUGAUUCUUUCAUGCCUUCAGUUAUACUACUUCUUAGGUUAGUUCAUAAGGGUUUCCACAAUUUGGUUCCCACUUAAAAUUUAAAACUUCCCUAACCCAUUCCCACCAUAUAUUGUGCUAAUCCAUGCAUAUGUGACUUUGCGUAUGCUGUUUUCAUUGUUUAAUAUUCUUCUCAUGCAUUCGUUCUUUCCUGAUAACGAACUCAUCUUUGAAACUCCCCUUCAAGCAUCCUCUACUUUAGGAGGCCGCUUCUCACUGUCUCCUGCCUACCACCCAUUGAAUUGUUCAAUUUUUAAGCUGCCAUUGUCUUGUGCAGUUGACACAUUUCUUUGCAAUUACUGAUUUACAUGUCUGCUUUUAUCACUGGUGAGGUUCUUUAGGACAGAGACAUUAUUAAUUCAUCUCUGGGCACAUAUGUUCCAACAUAUUAGAAGUACUACAGAGUGCUAUUACUAUGUAGUAUGUAGUAUUAGUAGUAGUUACUCACAAAUCAUUUUUAAAUAAGUGAUUAUAAUAUCUUUUUGUUAUUAUGAUUUAACACAAGAUGGAAUUUA
rnacentral:lncRNA from 10 species